UACGAAGGGUGCAAGCGUUGUUCGGAAUUACUGGGCGUAAAGGGCGCGUAGGCGGCUUUUCAAGUCGGGCGUGAAAUCUCCGGGCUUAACCCGGAAGGGUCGUUCGAUACUGUUGAGCUAGAGUGUGGAAGAGGCAACUAGAAUUCCGUGUGUAGCGGUGAAAUGCGUAGAUAUACGGAGGAAUACCUGAGGCGAAGGCGGGUUGCUGGGCCAACACUGACGCUGAAGUGCGAAAGCCAGGGGAGCAAACGGG
rnacentral:rRNA from 1 species